UACGUAGGGUGCAAGCGUUGUCCGGAAUUAUUGGGCGUAAAGAGCGUGUAGGCGGCCAUGCAGGUCCGUUGUGAAAACUCGAGGCUCAACCUCGAGACGCCGAUGGAAACCGCAUGGCUAGAGUCCGGAAGAGGAGAGUGGAAUUCCUGGUGUAGCGGUGAAAUGCGCAGAUAUCAGGAGGAACACCCGUGGCUAAGGCGGCUCUCUAGUACGGUACUGACGCUGAGACGCGAAAGCGUGGGGAGCAAACAGG
rnacentral:rRNA from 1 species